CAGUCGCCGCGGUAAUACGUAUGUCACAAGCGUUAUCCGGAUUUAUUGGGCGUAAAGCGCGUCUAGGUGGUUAUGUAAGUCAGAUGUGAAAAUGCAGGGCUCAACUCUGUAUUGCGUUGGAAACUGUGUAACUAGAGUACUGGAGAGGUAAGCGGAACUACAAGUGUAGAGGUGAAAUUCGUAGAUAUUUGUAGGAAUGUCGAUGGGGAAGCCAGCUUACUGGACAGAUACUGACGCUAAAGCGCGAAAGCGUGGGUAGCAAACAGGAUUAGAGACCCCAGUAGUCCCUGUCUCUUAUACA
rnacentral:rRNA from 1 species